rnacentral:rRNA from 1 species
AUUGAACGCUGGCGGCAUGCUUUACACAUGCAAGUCGAACGGUAACAGGGGAGCUUGCUCCCGCUGACGAGUGGCGAACGGGUGAGUAAUGCAUCGGAACGUGCCGAAUAGUGGGGGAUAACGCACCGAAAGGUGUGCUAAUACCGCAUACGCCCUGAGGGGGAAAGUGGGGGACCGCAAGGCCUCACGCUAAUCGAGCGGCCGAUGUCGGAUUAGAUAGUUGGUGGGGUAAAGGCUCACCAAGGCGACGAUCCGUAGCGGGUCUGAGAGGAUGAUCCGCCACACUGGGACUGAGACACGGCCCAGACUCCUACGGGAGGCAGCAGUGGGGAAUUUUGGACAAUGGGGGAAACCCUGAUCCAGCCAUGCCGCGUGUCUGAAGAAGGCCUUCGGGUUGUAAAGGACUUUUGUCCGGGAGGAAACCCUGAUCGUUAAUAGCGGUCGGGACUGACAGUACCGGAAGAAUAAGCACCGGCUAACUACGUGCCAGCCGCCGCGGUAAAAC